CAGGCUACAUGUCUUCAAGGAUGCAAAGUGAAUUGAUUUGUGGGGAACAUUGAUCAUCAGUUGCAGGGUGGUCAUGAUCUUACUGAAAUUGGUGAAAGAGGGGUAAACAUCAGCGGUGGCCAAAAGCAGAGAGUAUCCAUGGCUAGAGCUGUCUACUCCAAUUCUCAUGUGUACAUCUUUGAUGAUCCCCUAGGUGCUCUCGAUGCGCAUGUGGCUAGACAGGUUACCUUUAUGCCAACUAACUUCUCUAUAGCUUCUGUUAUCUCUAUAUUAGCACUCAAUGAGAUAUAACAAUGUGUUAGUAAUUUAUUUUUCCUUUUAUUAAGUGUUAUUAUAACUUUUGUGAGUA